GGGCACAAGGCGAGUCACCGGAAAAACUCAUCGCAGACUCAGUCUAGCGGAGGAGAUGAGAAAUCCACGUCGUCGGCGAUAACCAUCGCGAGCCACGGCGGCGGCGGAGGAGGAAGUGUGAAAUCUCACGUUUGCUCGAUCUGCAACAAGUCUUUCGCGACAGGUCAAGCGCUCGGGGGCCACAAACGGUGCCACUACGAAGGCAAGAACGGGAGCAGCAGCGAAGGUGUGGGGUCCACAAGCCACGUCAGCAGCGGCAGCCAUCACCACCACCGUGGGUUUGACCUCAACAUCCCGCCGAUACCGGAAUUCUCGACGGUCAACGGAGAAGAAGAGGUGAUGAGCCCCAUGCCGACCAAGAAACUGAGGCUCGAGUAGAACUUAUAAAGGAGUUACAGAUUCAGCUAGCAGUUACAUGAAUUUGUUAUACUGUACAUAAUACCAAUUUUUAGAUUCCACUUCUUGUUAUUCUUCAUUGAAUCAGUAGUAUUCCUUCUUGUAAUAUUUUUGUGUAGUUUUCUUGUCUUCUUUACCUAAAGUUAUCGUUUAAAGAAAAACGACCUUGUUAAAACUAUUCAAGUACGUUUCAGUUUCUAAAGAACAUAGAUUACAACCUUAUUGGUUCGUUGGACUAGUGUCGUGGGGUGGUAAGACCUAACGUACAAAGUCUCAGCCCAUUUAACUGAUAACAUGUUAAGAGAUUCGUUUGAAGUAGAUAAUGGGUACUAAUUACGUACUGUCUGAUGUUUCUAUGCAGAACAUGACUUCAAUUUUAUUUUAUACAAUACAAAAACGAAAGAUUACCUGCAGCAUUCAAUGGUCUUAUAACAACAUCCACAUUAUUCUUUUUAGACUUUCCAUAGCUAUAUGACUAUAUCUGACACAGAGAGCAUACCUUUUUAAGGUAACAAGUGAGUUCGCAAACUGUUGUCUUUCCAACUCCCUGGAGCCCAGCCACGUGACUUAGAAAACUGUAGCUGAGAUGUUUCUCCACCCAUCAAAUUCACAAGCUUAUCAUCAUGCACAACAUGCAAUAAAAAACCAUAAUACUCCCAACACUUUCGAGACUAAAAUGAUCAUCCCAGAAUGAAGUCAACCAAUAAAUAGUAUAUUAUUUAUUCAUCGGCAGUUUUACAAAUCACUUCUUUUAUAUUAUUUAUUUGUUUGCUUCUUUAUGAAACUUUCAAUGGAUAAGGAUUCUAGAAACAUCCCUAUCAUGGUCCUGGGGUUGAUCAUUCUCCUGAACCACAGCUUCCUUGGGGAUCACAUGUGCUCCCCAUAAGAGUUUAACAUUUUGGCCAUUGAUAACAACCCAUGAAGAGUGCUCUAACAUGGCCUUCUCCGCCCCUUCUCGGGUCGUGUAUGUGAGAAACGCACCGUCAACACCUCUCAUUGCAAAAUAGACGAUAGAUUUGAUUUCUCCAUAAGGGUUGAAACGGUCACGUAUGUGCUGCUCGUGGACACUAGAGUUGAGGCGACGGAGGUAGAGCGUUUUAAGUGUUUGAUCCAAGGGUGGAUCAACAGGGCCCAUGUAAACAUUUCUAGCCAGUAACUCGACGGUUUUUGGAUUGUCUAAACUGCCAACAACCAGAAAUUCACAUAAUAAAAGUGUUUGAGAAAGGCAACAAAGAGAGUGAGAGAUAGAGGUUACCCAGUUCUACUAUCAAAAACUCUGGGAACUUUAUGUGCGAAUGGACAUGUGGCACCAGCCAUACACGUACGACCCGAUUUAAAGAAACCGCAAACUAAUGGAUGGCCAUCAAAACGUCCAAGUUGGCUCUACAUAGAUCAGAUACAAAAAAAAAACAUGAAAAUCAUACAGACUAUUCGAAGCAGCCAUUAUAUGUUAGAAAAAUUCGUAUCCAAACACAAAAGUUCCUCACAAAUUUCCAAACCCUAAACAUAGACUAUUAACACAGAAAACAUCAACAACGAGAAGAGGUGAUAUCCACGAAAAUUCAUUGCCUUUGGACGACGAUCUAUAGGGUUUCUCUGAUCCAUUCUCUUCUACUCCAAUGGCGAUAAACGCGGCUACUUCUCUUUGGAUGAACAGAGGCAAGGGCUAUAUUUAUGCCGGACGUUUCGUUUUAUAAAGAGAAAAAGAUGAAUAUGGUAGGAAAAAAUGAGUUAAAACAAACUUACGGGCCUGUUUGGUGGGCUAGUAUGAUCUAACCUACACGUUUCCCCCAUUUAGUUGAUCAUUAUAAUUGUAUACAUUAUUAUUAUCAAACAAAAGCACCCUUGUUUUUUUUGAACAAAACACCAUCGUUUUUCACGAGCCAUUCAUUCGACAACAUGACAAAUAUAUUGACCUACCUUAUAAUUUGAGAUCUGUCCAAGUGCAUACAUUAUUAUGUAUAUACGUCCAUAUGGUAAAAUUGGGCUCAAUUCCUUGGCAAAAAAAAAAUGGGCUCAAUUAAGAUUAUUGGUUGGUUUGGUUUAUCCUUUUUUGUUGACCAUCAUGUUGUCCCAAAUCAGCUCUUGAUGUGCUCUUCAUUGAUCAGUAUUCUUUCUUGUAUAGGGUAUUUUUCUUGUUUUCUUUAAUUUGUAUUUAACCUAAAGUUGUGCUUCAAGAAAAAAUCCUUCCAAUGUUUCAACACCAAGAUACAUAGAAAAAGAAGAUCUCAACACAAUGGUUAGACAGUGUAAUUAUUAUUGGAAAGCUAUACUUUUAUGUCAUUUUUUUGUCAAUUUCUAUAUGUUUACGUGUUUAGCUUUUGUAAGAAUGUGUUUUUUUUGCAUCAAGGCAGAAACCUUGUCAUAAUAUCUUACUACUUGAUAAGUUUGGUGUUUUUUUGUUUUUUCUUUUGAACUUUAAUCUGUUUUGUUUGAUGUUUGGACGUCGAUGCCAACUAUCUAAAUUUUCUCUUCACUAUUUUUCUUACAUCAAAUUUUCUUUUUACUUGAAUAAAUAUUUCUAAUCGUACUAAUAUUUCUACAAAAGCACACGAUGUUAAAAGAUGGUCUCUUAAAAACAAUCCAAAUUAUAAGAUGUAUUUAAACUCCUUUUACAAAAAAAAAAAUGUAUUUAAACUCCAACAUUUAAAAUGUCACAUUACCAAACAAAAGCACCAUCGGUUUUCACGAGCCUCCCACGAUGUGAUAAAUAUGACCCACCAUCAUCCAAUUAUAUGCGUCCAAAGUGCAUACGUUAGUAUGUAUAUUGAUAUACUAAUGGAUCUCUUAAUUAUUUUUGCAUAAGAGCAUCAUUAUCCUAGAGACCCAUAAUGGAUCUCUUAAUUAUUUUUUUAUAGUAUUUAAGGAAUAAAUUUGGUCAAGAGACUUUGUUAAGAAUUUUCAAUUUUUAUGUCCUCCAUUGCAAGUCUUGUAUUUUAGGAUUCUUAAAAAAAAAUUUGGUUAAAAGAGCUUUCAUCACACUUUCAUUACAUUCGUCUUGUGAAAACCAUCUUUUCCUAAAACUGAGUUCAAAAGAACAUUUCAAAUCUUGAUGCAAGUUUCUAAAGAUGGACACAAAACCAAAUCAAAAGAAGCUCUUAAACCAAUCCAAAACUGGAGCAAACCAAACAAAAAAAACGGACUGUAAAAGUCUAGCGGAGGAGAUGAGAAAUCCACGUCGUCCGCGAUAACCAUCGCUAGCCGCGGCGGCGGCGGAGGAGGAAGUGUGAAACCGCACGUUUGCUCGAUCUGCAACAAGUCUUUCGCGACAGGUCAAGCGCUCGGGGGCCACAAACGGUGCCACUACGAAGGCAAGAACGGGAGCAGCAGCGAAGUUGUGGGGUCCGCAAGCCACGUCAGCAGCGGCAGCCAUCACCACCACCGUGGGUUUGACCUCAACAUCCCGCCGAUACCGGAAUUCUCGACGGUCAACGGAGAAGAAGAGGUGAUGAGCCCCAUGCCGACCAAGAAACUGAGGCUCGAGUAGAACUUAUAAAGGAGUUACAGAUUCAGCUAGCAGUUACAUGAAUUUGUUAUACUGUACAUAAUACCAAUUUUUAGAUUUCAUUUCUUGUUAUUCUUCAUUGAAUCAGUAUUCCUUCUUGUAAUAUUUGUGUAGUUUUCUUAUCUUCUUUACCUAAAGUUGUCGUUUAAAGAAAAAGACCCUGCUAAAAC
rnacentral:lncRNA from 1 species